GACGAACGCUGGCGGCGUGCUUAACACAUGCAAGUCGAACGAAGAGCGAUGGAAGCUUGCUUCUAUCAAUCUUAGUGGCGCACGGGUGAGUAACGCGUAAUCAACCUGCCCUUCAGAGGGGGACAACAGUUGGAAACGACUGCUAAUACCGCAUACGAUCUAAUCUCGGCAUCGAGGAUAGAUGAAAGGUGGCCUCUACAUGUAAGCUAUCACUGAAGGAGGGGAUUGCGUCUGAUUAGCUAGUUGGAGGGGUAACGGCCCACCAAGGCGAUGAUCAGUAGCCGGUCUGAGAGGAUGAACGGCCACAUUGGGACUGAGACACGGCCCAGACUCCUACGGGAGGCAGCAGUGGGGAAUCUUCCGCAAUGGACGAAAGUCUGACGGAGCAACGCCGCGUGAGUGAUGACGGCCUUCGGGUUGUAAAGCUCUGUUAAUCGGGACGAAAGGCCUUCUUGCGAAUAGUGAGAAGGACUGACGGUACCGGAAUAGAAAGCCACGGCUAACUACGUG
rnacentral:rRNA from 1 species